AGGACGAACGCUGGCGGCGUGCUUAACACAUGCAAGUCGAGCGAGGCCCUUCCUUCGGGAAGGUGCCCUAGCGGCGAACGGGUGAGUAACACGUGGGCAACCUGCCCCUAGCACUGGGAUAACUCCGGGAAACCGGGGCUAAUACCAGAUAUGACCUUUGAGGGCAUCCUCGAAGGUGUAAAGGAUUCUGGCUAGGGAUGGGCCCGCGGCCUAUCAGCUUGUUGGUGGGGUAAUGGCCUACCAAGGCGACGACGGGUAGCCGGCCUGAGAGGGCGACCGGCCACACUGGGACUGAGACACGGCCCAGACUCCUACGGGAGGCAGCAGUGGGGAAUAUUGCACAAUGGGCGAAAGCCUGAUGCAGCGACGCCGCGUGAGGGAUGACGGCCUUCGGGUUGUAAACCUCUUUCAGCAGGGACGAAGCGAAAGUGACGGUACCUGCAGAAGAAGCACCGGCAACUACGUGCCAGCAGCCGC
rnacentral:rRNA from 1 species